CGAAGCAUUCAACACACAGGGUGAAAAGAGGAGCUACAGCAAUGUGCAGUAUGACAAAAAUAUGGUGUUUUUUGAAAGUUGAACCAAGUAAACCUGAGAUUUUGAACCUGAAAAUGAGCAUAAUGCCACCUUUUUAAGAGACUUGCACCCCAUCCAUCCACCCAUCCAUCGUCAACCGCUUAUCCUGCGUAUAGGGUCGCGGGGGGGCUGGAGUCUAUACAACCUGAAAUUGGGCGAAAGGCGGGGUACAUCCUGGACAGGUCACUAGUUCAUCACAGGGCAAUAAUAGUAGCUUGUGCAGAGGUGUAGGAUCUGGAGAUUGGAGAUAGCUUCACACCAAACUCCCUUAAAACAACUGACAAUUGCAAAAAAUAAGCACAGCACAUCCUGAAACAGACUUUCAGUUUUACAUUUCUGUAAGGUUUCCUUUUUUUCAUUGAAACCUUGAAAUGAGUCACUAUGCAUAUACUACUUUAGAACCGUAUGAUUAUGUUCACAUUGUUUGUUCAAAGCUCAAAUACAUACCGCAUACUGUAACUCCCUCCUUUCUGGCAUAAACCUAAAGUCACUCUCUCGCCACCCAUCUAGUUCAGAAUGCAGCAGCUAGGCUUCUGACUGGUUUUAACAGAUGACAUCACAUCACCCUAAUCCUGGCUUCUCUCCAUUGGCUCCCUCUUAGAUUGAGAAUUGAUUUUAAGAUUUUACUGAUCACUUUUAAAGCAGGUCUGUGUCUGGCCCCAAGCUACAUAGCAGAUAGCAGAUAUGUUGACCCCAUAUGAGCCAGUUCACAGCCUUAAAUCCUCAGGUGGGGACCUUCUGGCCAUUCCAAAGUUGACCGUGCUUUUGCCAUCAGGGACUCUUGGCUUUGGGACAUCUUGCCUGAGGACAUAAGGCUCGCAGAAUCAGUGACUUCUUUAAAUCACUUCUAAAAACCCAUUUUUAUUGACCUGCUUUUUGCGUCUCUUCUUAAUUUAAUUGAUUUUGCUUUUGUUUGGCCUUCUGUUGAAAAUAAGUAUGCUGCUUUUGCUUUGUCAAAGAAUUUUGUAAACUCUGUUUUUAAAGAUGCAGUUUUUAAUAUGAAGUUAUUAUAAUUUUACACAGCAAACUGUGAUGAGGAAUGACUGUGAUAUGCCCACUAAAAAAACCUAGUUGUUGUUGUUAUUAAUAUUGUUUAUUAUGUGUGAAUUAUUAUUGGAUUUAGGUUACAUGUUUUGGAUCCCUUUUCCUUCUGGCUUUGCCCUGGUCUUCUAUCCUCUGACAGAAAUGACUCUGACAGAAAAUCGCACAUCUGGAGCUGAUGAGGUGGAAGGGACUUGUUCUACAAAAUUAAAGCAGCCCAGCUACCUGUCGAUCAGUAGGUUGAGAGAUGAUAUUUAAAGCCCUGGCUCUGUUUUGGGGGAACAAACAAAGUGGACCACACCCUGCCACAUAACACUAUUCCAGCCGUUCCAGCCAUGAUUUGUUUGUCAGGUAGCGUAGCAGGCAUGGCUUGCCCACGGACAUUUAGCUUUCUUUCUAGUUUGCCAAGACAUGAUGUGUAGUUGUUAGCUCUAUAUUAUGGUAUUUGUCAUGCUGUUGGAUUUCUCUAUAAUUGCUUACGCCACCUUUAUUCAUGUGGCAAUCCUGCUUUAAAAAAUAAAUAGUAAAAUAUGGGGGAAAGGCUGGAGUUUGAGGUUUUUAUCUUAAAAUUAUCUUAAUUAUUGUUUAAUGCAUUGUUUUG